rnacentral:rRNA from 1 species
CGGCGGACGGGUGAGUAACGCGUGGGUAACCUGCCUCAUACAGGGGGAUAACAGUUAGAAAUGACUGCUAAUACCGCAUAAGCGCACGGGACCGCAUGGUCUUGUGUGAAAAACUCCGGUGGUAUGAGAUGGACCCGCGUCUGAUUAGGUAGUUGGCGGGGUAGCGGCCCACCAAGCCGACGAUCAGUAGCCGACCUGAGAGGGUGACCGGCCACAUUGGGACUGAGACACGGCCCAAACUCCUACGGAAGGCAGCAG